UGCCUUCCUGGAAACACUCCUGUCAGGUGACUACAGAGUGAGAGUGAAACCAGCUUCCCUCAGAGGCUGCGGCACAAGGCUGACCUGCAAACGUCUGAAAAAAAGAGGCAAGCUCUCGGUGUGAGCAAGUGGGACUGCGGCUAUUUGAGGAAGGAGCCCAUGUGGGAAUCCCCUGAGCUGCGCCAUGGCCAGAGGCUUGGUCGUUCGCGGGGGUCACAGCUCUCAUGGCUGCAGCUAGCGUGACCCCCCCUGGCUCCUUGGAGUUGCUACAGCCUGGCUUCUCCAAGACCCUCCUGGGGACCAAGCUGGAAG